rfam:Spinacia oleracea cultivar SynViroflay scaffold93167.con0001.1, whole genome shotgun sequence.
AUUCCGUGUUGAGGACACUCCCUUUGGUAUUCCUUGAAUAGAUCCCAAACUUCAAAUAGGGAUUCAUCACGUUUUUGCUCAAAGGAUUGAAUUUUGUGCCGAUACU